ACGAACGUUAUCGGGCAUCGCCCUUCAUCAGGUAUACGUACAGAUAUAAAAUAGUUACGAGUUUUAAUAAAUAUAAUGCAGAGUACUUUUGGCCAUACUAGACACCUCCCAAUAGUUUUUAUUAUAUAUCUUGUGCCUAUGUGUUUGCGUAUACUGUACAGUUAUUUACACUAUGAUGAUUGUUAUUUUAGGUUGGAUAACAUGCCCCACCCUACUGUUUAUUGGUUAAUUUAUUCGUAUAUACAUGCUGCUACAAUUACUUGCCUUUUGUUUUUCCCUGACGUUCCCAAAUAUGAUGCUGGCGGGAAUCGAACCCACGAUCUCCAGAAAACUAGCUCGGCGUCAUAAGGUAUUCCGCCAUAACCACAGUAAAUGUUUCCCCCAGAUCAGUGUUCUUAUUUUUUACCCGAUUUCAGGUGCUCGAACUUUCUUAUUUUUUUCUUAUUUUUAGAUACUUUUCAAACAUUACAAUUUAUUAUUGUACAGCACUGUAUUACUGUACUGUCUUAUAUAGAGUGUAUUACAUUGUCACACCAACUGCAAGUAAAGUACAGAUAAGAUUUUUUUUUCAAUAUUUUUUAAAUAAAAACCUCAUAUGAUAUUUUUACCUAACUUUUUUUUCCUUUCUUAUUUUGUUCUUAAUUUUUAAGCAAUUUCGGCCUCAGUGUUCUUAUAAAAAUUUGUACUAAAAAAUAGUAAUGUAAUUGAACAUUUUUUAUCGUGUCCACACACUUGCUAGAUACUUUGUUUCUAUCACAAUAAUUGUACUUUGCCAGGUCCACCAGAUAGCAUAAUGAUCUUGUGUGGUUGGCGGUAGAAUUAACGUUAUUCAGGGCAGCGACGGGGACGCUUCUGCCAUGGAGGACUAGUUCCUCCAUGCUUCUACCGUGAUCCUUAAUUGAUAAUAAUAAUGUAAUAUAUUUGGAAAACGCUUAUAUAACAGCGACUCGCAUAACAGUGAUGAUGCAUUCAUCCGCAAAUUAAGUAAUAAAAUACAAUCUCAUUAAUCAAUUAAUUAAUUAAUUAAUUAAUCAAUCUAAUCACUUAGUAAACAGAUAACCAAAAACUGUGAUAAGCAAGCAAUGACUAUAAACCAUUGAUAGGCCCUAUAAAUAAUAAUAAUAUAUACAGAUAAACAAAAAAGUAUGUUAUAAUCACCUACAAAUGAGGAUCAUGAUCUUAUUUGUUAAGCCUACUUUUAGGGCGUGAAAAGGCGUUUCAUUUGUUUUCAAGAUAAAAAGGUAACUCCUUGGUGACAUUUUGAUUGGGCAAUGUGCGCUUAAUAUAUAGGCCUAACACGAUUUUCUUCCCUCGUCGUCAUUCAGCUCUACGUUUUCAUUUGUGAGCGUUACUACAUCCAGGCCUAUAUUAUUUUACCGCUUCUUUUGACCGCCGAUUUUCACCGAUUGACGUUUAGUUUUGCUGAGAAUCGACUAGCCUACAGUACCGAUAUUUAUUGGCCACUGAUUUCCCUUCUAGACGCCGACUUUUUAAUUAUUUUACAUUGGAUGAUCUUGAAGACUGAAUCUAAGCUCCUCCAUUUUUGACCAUCGAUUUUUCAUUUUGACCGCCGAUUUACGAAAUGGGAAAGUUAACCCAGUUGGACGGCGAAGAGAGAAUACGAGCUAACGAGGCUGUCAUUAAAAAAACUGUUAGAAUUAAUGGAAAACAACCAGCAAAGAAGCCCAAGAAAGCGAAAAGGAUUAAGCUCGGAAGACCAGUUAACAUGAGCAGUUUACUUCCUUAAUCGACGUCACAAACAAGUUCUCGCUGCACAGGAAGAAAAGCAACGCACAUCGGAAGCUGCAAGUUGCAGCGUCUCACUAAAAGAGAUAACGGAAUAUUUGAAGAAAAAUGUAGAAGGGCUGGAAGAGGCAGGGAUAAGUCAUUCCACUGUACGCAGGCUAAUGACUGCUCCCCGACAAAACACCAAAAUGCGUCCCUGUUCAAGGGAUUAGUGAAAGAAGCUUGGAUCCCGCCAAAAUCAAAACGCAGAGCUAUGACGUCAUCUUCUUGCCGUCAUGA